CCUGUUCCCAUGCCGAACACAGAAGUUAAGCUCUUUAGCGCCGAUGGUAGUCGGACUUACGUUCCGCGAGAGUAGGACGUUGCCAAGC
rnacentral:rRNA from 1 species